rnacentral:rRNA from 1 species
GUUGAACGCUGGCGGCAUGCUUUACACAUGCAAGUCGAACGGUAACAGGCCUUCGGGUGCUGACGAGUGGCGAACGGGUGAGUAAUGCAUCGGAACGUACCCAGAGGUGGGGGAUAACGCAGCGAAAGCUGUGCUAAUACCGCAUGUGAUCUGAGGAUGAAAGCGGGGGACCGAGCAGCAAUGUUUGGCCUCGCGCCUUUGGAGCGGCCGAUGUCGGAUUAGCUAGUUGGUGGGGUAAAGGCCUACCAAGGCGACGAUCCGUAGCUGGUCUGAGAGGACGACCAGCCACACUGGGACUGAGACACGGCCCAGACUCCUACGGGAGGCAGCAGUGGGGAAUUUUGGACAAUGGGCGCAAGCCUGAUCCGGCAAUGCCGCGUGCGGGAAGAAGGCCUUCGGGUUGUAAACCGCUUUUGGCAGGAACGAAACGGUGUCCGCUAAUACCGGGCGCUAAUGACGGUACCUGCAGAAUAAGCACCGGCUAACUACGUG